rnacentral:rRNA from 1 species
UACAGAGGGGGCAAGCGUUGUUCGGAAUUACUGGGCGUAAAGGGCGCGUAGGCGGCCUGCUAAGUCGAACGUGAAAUCCCUGGGCUCAACCCAGGAACUGCGUCCGAUACUGGUUGGCUUGAAUCCGGGAGAGGGAUGUGAAAUUCCAGGUGUAGCGGUGAAAUGCGUAGAUAUCUGGAGGAACACCGGUGGCGAAGGCGACAUCCUGGACCGGUAUUGACGCUGAGGCGCGAAAGCCAGGGGAGCAAACGGG